AAAUAAAGAAGGAAGGGAAUACUUACCUAUGAUCACCAACAUGGUUUUCCCAAGGGCAAAGCUUAUCCAUUGCACUCCGGACGUGCUGACUUCUAUGAUUUCCCCAAAUGUGGGAAACUCAACUCAUAAUUUGUGGUAGUGGGGGACUGUGUUUGUGCUCUCCCUUG
rnacentral:snRNA from 1 species